UUUUUUCUCUGCCUUCCUGUGUUUGUGUCUUGGUGGUUGUGUGUUUUCUCGGCAGGCUGGGCGGAGUCGAAGGGGAGAGGACUUUCUCGCGCUGGCAGGUGCUACUCAUCAGCUCAUCAGCGGAGCACCUGAAAUACCAGCGUCUCACAGAUCUCCAGCGCCAGAUGAUUCAUCCUAGUGCGUUCCCUCUUCGACUCCAGCCUCCAGCGUCUCACGAGCCACACCAGCCAUAACCCUCUCCGGCUUCACCACAGAGCCCAGUUCUUUUCCUACGAGCACCAACACUGGGAAAACCUUCACCGGGAAGAAGCACCUCUAGCACCGUCACCGGAUUCCUCCACGCCUUCCUCCCCAGCACUACCUCGGUGGCACUUCCCCCUCCUCGGAUCCCGGCACGGACAAACCUCCACCUGCACCCCUCUCGACUGACACUCCUGCGGCUGGUUCCUGUCCCUGGUGACCCCCACUCCCUCACCCUGAUUAAUAAAACCCUUUUUCCUUAUAA